rnacentral:rRNA from 1 species
UGGGGGAUAUUGCACAAUGGGCGAAAGCCUGAUGCAGCGACGCCGCGUGGGGGAUGAAGGCCUUCGGGUUGUAAACUUCUUUUGCUCUGAACAAGGCAUGCUAAUGGGUGUGUUGAGUGUAGGGGUUGAUUAGCGCCGGCUAACUACGUGCCAGCAGCCGCGGUAAUACUUAGGGCGCGAGCGUUGUCCGGAAUUAUUGGGCGUGAAGGGCUUGUAGGUGGCUGGUUGCGUCUGUCGUGAAAGCUCAUGGCUUAACUGUGGGUUUGCGGUGGGUACGGGCUGGUUUGAGUGCAGUAGGGGAGGCUGGAAUUCCUGGUGUAGCGGUGGAAUGCGCAGAUAUCAGGAGGAAUACCGGUGGCGAAGGCGGGUCUCUGGGCUGUUACUGACACUGAGGAGCGAAAGCAUGGGGAGCGAACAGG